rnacentral:rRNA from 1 species
CCCUUAGAUGUUCUGGGCAGCACGCGCGCUACAAUGGUCUUCGCAAACGGAUGCAUUCUCGAAGGAGAAUGCCAAUCUUGGAAUCUAUGCCUUGGUCGGGACAGUUGCUUGCAAUUUUUCGACUCGAACCAGGAAUUCCUUGUAAUCGUGAUUCAUCACAUCACGAUGAAUACGUCCCUGCCCUUUGUACACACCGCCCGUCGCCCCUACCGAUCGAAGAGUUAGGUGAAUUGUUUUGAUCGAUAAGAUUUGACUAUGGUCAACUCUCGUUGUGAAAUUCUGUGAAUCUGACUGUUUGGAGGAAGGAAAAGUCGUAACA